rnacentral:lncRNA from 1 species
UUAGUAAUACUUCUAUGAUAACUUUAAUCAAGAGGGGUAAUACUAUAAUGAAAUGUACAGUGAGGAACAAAGAGACUUAUCAUCCUUCAUGUGUAUCUCUUCCAUUGAAACUCCUUCCAAAGUCUACUCUAUUUCGUCUCCUAAUAUUUUUAGAAAACUCUUUCGUUAAUUUGAAUCCUUAAAUGAUAUACACUUUAUCCUCUCUUCCAAUUCCAUUAUUACUUGUGAGUCUCUUCUGCCAUGGAAAAAGUAAAGGACAAUCCUGGAGCAUGAAUUUUAUUGUGGCCCUCUGUUCUAGAUAUCUUCAUCAGCAAAACAUAUUUAACUCUCCUAUUACCUACUUAUGUAUAUGCAUAAAUAUGUCAUGGAAACUCUUAUACGAUAAAUAUGUUAAUAAAUUAUUAUCGGUGAUCUUAUAACUUAAGACGUUCUAUUGAAAAAUAAGAAUUUCCUCUAACAUAUUUUAAAAGUUAGUGAGACGGUAGUCAUUCACUCAAUUACUAAAUCCCUUGUCACUAUAUUUAAAUAUCACUCGAUCGUGAGGAUUUAGGAACUCCGCAUCAAUAUUCAUUAAGUAAAUUACAAAUUACACUAAAUACUUAUGAUGUAAUAAAAGUGUAUAUGAGAACGAUUAUUUAAGUAUUCAUUGACACUAAAUAAUAGAUUAUGUUACUUGACAAUUGUAAAGCAUAUCAAUAUGACAUUAAUAAUUAAAAUUAUUUUCUUAUUUAUGAAUUGUAAAUAACGUUGUAAUGGUGUAUUCAUUUAUGUGUUUCAUUGAUUGUAGCUUAUAUUUUGUCUUAAUUGUUUAGCCUGAUAAUAUAUUUGAUUAAUUUA